AGAUCAAAGCUCCAGGCCACACAUGUUAAGGACCCUCAGCCCAGGGAGGUGGCUUUAAUCUUGGUUCUCCAGUGUCAGGAAGAGAUCCUUCAGUCAUGGGAGAACCUUUCUUGGCCGAGUUCGUAGUCAGAGGGAGAUGUGACUACAGAAGAAUGGUUGGACACGUGCAACACUGUGGGCUUUACAGAGGAAGGAAGGGGACAUGAGCCAAGGAACUCUGGCAGCCUCUAGAAGCUAAAAAAGGCAAGGAAACAGAUUCUCCCUUAAAGCUUCCAGAAAGGGACACAGCCCUGUAACACUUGGAUUUUAGCCCAACUGGGUGUGUG
rnacentral:lncRNA from 1 species